AUUCCAUGAUGAGGGCACUUUCAUAAUAACUCUUUGUAUCUUUCCCAUGCCUCAUACAAGGACUCAUCAUCUAUUUGUUGGAAAGCAGUGAUCUCUCGUUCCUCAACUU
rfam:Gossypium arboreum cultivar AKA8401 contig_12928_7, whole genome shotgun sequence.